ACUGGGUGUGGUGGUGCACACCUGUAAUCCCUCAGGAGGCUGAGGCAGGAGGAUUGUGGGUUCAAAGUAAGCCUCAGCCACUCAGCAAGGCCUGAAGCAACUCAGCGAGACCCUGUCUCUA
rnacentral:sRNA from 1 species